rnacentral:rRNA from 1 species
AGUCAACAUGCCCAGGGGACGUGGAUAACCUCGGGAAACUGAGGAUAAACCACGAUAGGUCAUAAUAUCUGGAAUGAUUCAUGGCUAAAAUCUACAUGGCCCCUGGAUUGGACUGCGGCCGAUCAGGCUGUUGGUGAGGUAAUGGCCCACCAAACCUAAAACCGGUACGGGCUCUGAGAGGAGAAGCCCGGAGAUGGGCACUGAGACAAGGGCCCAGGCCCUAUGGGGCGCAGCAGGCGCGAAAACUCUGCAAUAAGCGAAAGCUUGACAGGGUUAUUCUGAGUGAUUUCCGCUAAGGAAAUCUUUUGGCACCUCUAAAAAUGGUGCAGAAUAAGGGGUGGGCAAGCCUGGUGUCAGCCGCCGCGGUAAUACCAGCACCCCGAGUGGUCGGGACGAUUAUUGGGCCUAAAGCAUCCGUAGCCGGUUCUACAAGUCUUCCGUUAAAUCCAUCUGCUUAACAGAUGGGCUGCGGAGGAUACUAUGGAGCUAGGAGGCGGGAGAGGCAAGCGGUACUUAGUGGGUAGGGGUAAAAUCCGUUGAUCCACUGAAGACCACCAGUGGCGAAGGCGGCUUGCCAGAACGCGCUCGACGGUGAGGGAUGAAAGCUGGGGGAGCAAACCGGAUUAGAUACCCGGGUAGUCCCAGCUGUAAACGAUGCAGACUCGGUGAUGAAUAGGCUUCGUGCCUUUUCAGUGCCGCAGGGAAGCCGUUAAGUCUGCCGCCUGGGGAGUACGGUCGCAAGACUGAAACUUAA